rnacentral:rRNA from 1 species
CCUACGGGUGGCAGCAGUGAGGAAUAUUGGUCAAUGGGCGGUAGCCUGAACCAGCCAAGUAGCGUGAAGGAUGACGGCACUGUGUGUUGUAAACCUCUUUUAUCUGGGAAUAAAGUCCAGGAUUUAUACUGCGUUGCAUGUACCUGAUGAAUAAGGAUCGGCUAACUCCGUGCCAGCAGCCGCGGUAAUACGGAGGAUCCGAGCGUUAUCCGGAUUUAUUGGGUUUAAAGGGAGCGUAGGCGGGUUGUUAAGUCAGUUGUGAAAGUUUGCGGCUCAACCCUAAGAUUGCAGUUGAUACUGGCAUCCUUGAGUACAGUAGAGGUAGGCGGAAUUCGUGGUGUAGCGGUGAAAUGCUUAGAUAUCACGCAGAACCCCGAUUGCGAAGGCAGCCUGCUGGCCUGUAACUGACGCUGAUGCACGAAAGUGUGGGUAUCAAACAGGAUUAGAUACCCCUGUAGUC